rnacentral:rRNA from 1 species
AUUGAACGCUGGCGGCAGGCCUAACACAUGCAAGUCGAACGAGUGGCGGACGUGUGAGUAAUGUCUGGGAAAUUGCCCGAUGGAGGGGGAUAACUACUGGAAACGGUUGCCAUUUCCGUAUACCAUCAGAUGUGCCCAGAUGGGAUUUGCUAGUAGGUGGGGUAAAGGCUCACCUAGGCCACGAUCCCUAGCUGGACUGAGAGGAUGACCGGCCACACUGGAACUGAGACACGGUCCAGACUCCUACGGGGGGCAGCAGUGGGGAAUAUUGCACAAUGGGCGCAAGCCUGAUGCAGCCAUGCCGAGUGGAUGAAGAAGGCCUUCGGGUUGUAAAAUACUGUCAGCGGGGAAGCGUUACCCGCAGAGGAAGCACCGGCUAACUCCGUGCCAGCAGCCGCGGUAGUUC